rnacentral:rRNA from 1 species
UACGGAGGGUGCAAGCGUUAUCCGGAUUUACUGGGUUUAAAGGGUGCGCAGGCGGAUAUGUAAGUCAGUGGUGAAAUCUCUAGGCUUAACCUGGAAAUUGCCGUUGAUACUAUAUAUCUUGAAUGCUGUGGAGGUAAGCGGAAUAUGUCAUGUAGCGGUGAAAUUCGUAGAUAUUGGGAAGAACACCAGUGGCGAAGGCGGCUAUCUGGCCCGUGAUUGACGCUGAGGCGCGAAAGCGUGGGGAGCAAACAGG